rnacentral:rRNA from 1 species
AUGAACGCUGGCGGCGUGCCUAAUACAUGCAAGUCGAGCGAACAGACGAGGAGCUUGCUCCUCUGACGUUAGCGGCGGACGGGUGAGUAACACGUGGAUAACCUACCUAUAAGACUGGGAUAACUUCGGGAAACCGGAGCUAAUACCGGAUAAUAUAUUGAACCGCCUGGUUCAAUAGUGAAAGACGGUUUUGCUGUCACUUAUAGAUGGAUCCGCGCCGCAUUAGCUAGUUGGUAAGGUAACGGCUUACCAAGGCAACGAUGCGUAGCCGACCUGAGAGGGUGAUCGGCCACACUGGAACUGAGACACGGUCCAGACUCCUACGGGAGGCAGCAGUAGGGAAUCUUCCGCAAUGGGCGAAAGCCUGACGGAGCAACGCCGCGUGAGUGAUGAAGGUCUUCGGAUCGUAAAACUCUGUUAUUAGGGAAGAACAAAUGUGUAAGUAACUAUGCACGUCUUGACGGUACCUAAUCAGAAAGCCACGGCUAACUACGUG